UUUGAUCAAAUAUAUUCACUCAACAAAGAAAGCAUUAUAACAACACUUCAUACAAAUUCCAUUCGUCUUCAGCGACAAUGAGUAGUAGUCAAAUAAUCGAAGGUUCUGAAUUGGACGCUGGCCUUGUGGCGAGUGGUGAGAUUGACGUUGCACCAAAGACAGUGGAGGAGCCAGUGGUGGAGACCGAGCAGCCCGAAGAAUCCGUUGUGACAGAAACACCAGAGGUGGUGACUCCGGAAGAACCUGAAGUCAACGUCGAUGUCGAGGAGUAAAAAGGGAUGAAACUCACUGUGACUCUCUCUAAAAUUAAUGUUUGCAUUUGGUUUCUAUUAAAAUAAGUGUGUUUAUGUCGGUAUGGUAUCUUUGGUUUUGGCUUUGAAUGAUUUGUGAUAAUAAAACAAAAUGUUUGGAUA